rnacentral:rRNA from 1 species
UACGGAGGGUGCAAGCGUUAUCCGGAUUCACUGGGUUUAAAGGGUGCGUAGGUGGGUUGGUAAGUCAGUGGUGAAAUCCCCGAGCUUAACUUGGGAACUGCCAUUGAUACUAUUAAUCUUGAAUACCUGGAGGUUAGCGGAAUAUGUCAUGUAGCGGUGAAAUGCUUAGAUAUGACAUAGAACACCAAUUGCGAAGGCAGCUGGCUACACGAAUAUUGACACUGAUGCACGAAAGCGUGGGGAUCAAACAGG